rnacentral:rRNA from 1 species
CCUACGGGCGGCAGCAGUGGGGAAUAUUGCGCAAUGGGCGAAAGCCUGACGCAGCGACGCCGCGUGAGGGAUGAAGGUCUUCGGAUCGUAAACCUCUGUCAGCAGGGAAGAACGGUCACUGUGCUAAUCAGCAGUGAAUUGACGGUACCUGCAAAGGAAGCACCGGCUAACUCCGUGCCAGCAGCCGCGGUAAUACGGAGGGUGCGAGCGUUAAUCGGAAUUACUGGGCGUAAAGCGCUCGUAGGCGGUAUGUCAAGUCAAGGGUGAAAUCCCCGCGCUCAACGUGGGAACUGCCUUGGAAACUGGCAUACUGGAGUGUGUGCGAGGAUAGUGGAAUUCGAGGUGUAGGAGUGAAAUGCGUAGAUAUCAGGAGGAACAUCAGUGGCGAAGGCGACUAACUGGCACAUAACUGACGCUGAGGAGCGAAGGCGUGGGUAGCAAACAGGAUUAGAUACCCGGGUAGUC